rnacentral:misc_RNA from 1 species
UUUAACAUCCAAAAAAAUUAAAUUUCACAUUUUUCAAAGCCAAAGAAUACAUUUUCUUAGGUUUUUCUCACCGAUUCCUAUCGGAUGCAGUAGUCUAAUAUCAAGACACAGUUUUGUAAAAUAAAUCGAAUAACAAUGCAUGAGAGAGGCUACAGAAACAAAAAUUAACACAAACACUGGAUUACAAUCAAUCAAAUCACUGCUGAAAUACAAACAGAGCAACAGGUUAAUGAAUUAAUGGAAGAAAAUCAACCAGCACAGCAGGUGUCUUCUUUUCAACAUUGGUCAUAUAUAUUAUAUACCUACUUAUGCUGAUCCGAAUUCUGAAAACCACUUCUCAUGCUUCUCAAUGUCAGCUUGAGAAACACUUCGCUGGACCUUCUGCAAGGCCUCUUCAAAAUCACACAUUGCAACAGGAUCCUUUGAAAUCUCAUCUUUAGGCAUGUUUUUUAUCUCAUCACGGGUCUUUCCAGCUAUCUUGCGCCUCAUGCCAUUUAAGGAAGCAUCCCGGCAAACAUUUGUAAGAUCAUCUCCACUGUACCCUUCUGUCCGACGAGCCACUUCAUCAAUAUUUACAUCAGGAGCCACCUCAACAGUUUUCAAAUUGAUCCUAAUAAGCUCCUUACGACUCUCAAAAUUUGGAAGCGGAAUAUAAAUACGCUUUUCCAACCUCCUCCUCAAUGCUUCAUCUAUGUCCCAAGGAAAGUUAGUAGCCGCCAAAACCAUCACUAUUUUUCGGCUGCCAUCUUCAUUUGUGGAAGUAUUGUUUACACCAUCUACCUGAACCAGAAGUUCAGACUUGACCCUUCUUGAUGAUUCGUGUUCCCCUGAGGCCCCUCUGGCAUUGCACAGAGAAUCAAUUUCAUCAAUGAAAAUUGUACUUGGUGCAUAAGCUCGUGCCAGAUCAAACAAGCACCGCACCAUGCGCUCACUCUCCCCACGCCAUUUUGAAGCCAACGUAGCUGAUGAAACAUUGAAAAAUGUUGUACCACAUUCAGUAGCAACAGCCUUGGCAAGCAGUGUCUUACCAGUUCCCGGGGGGCCAAACAUGAGAACACCUUUCCAAGGUCUCCUAAUUCCCUGGAAAUAUUCAGGCAUCCAUAAUGGAAGGACAACAGCUUCUUCUAGAAGUCGUUUUGCUUCACUAAGACCUGCAACGUCAUCCCAUCUAACUCCAGGAGUAGUUUCCAAGACAUCCCUUUCAAGCAUAGCAGCCAAGUCAGGAUCAGGCCCUUCGUAUUGUCCCUUCUUGGACUUUCCAUCUUCAGAAUCACCAUUAGCUGAAUCUCCCUUGCCAGAUUUUCCAGCACCAGUGCCUUUCUUUCCAGUAGUUGAUGCUCGGACACCCGAGUUCACCCUGCUUGAACCACCAGACUUUUGAGCACGACCAGUUGUAGCUGUUCUUGUUGCACCACCGCGAGACCAAUUCCCAUCCUGAGGUGAUUUCCUCAUACCCACUUGACCAGCCCUAGCAGAUCUCCUACCCGUAGCGUCCCGACUUGGAGGCCUCCACACAUCAGGGUCAUCCAUGGGAGCACCAGAGGAAGUAGGGUACUCAUCUAAUGGUUGAAAAACAAAGGAUGAUUUAGCAUUAAUCGGUGGUGAUGCGGCUCGUCGCCCUGUGGGAGUUUCCUUAAAUGCCCUUCUCUCAGCAUCUAAUUGCUUUACAACUUCCGCCUCCUCUGAAAUGGCUUUCUUGGCAUUCAUCCAUUUUGUGCGAAUUAAAGGGUCAUCAAGAGUGUUUAGGUGCUUGUUGAUCUGAGCAAUGGCGCCAUCGAAGAAGAUAAUAGAAGUGUCGUAGAGUCCUUCAAGAGCAUAUUCUCGAGCCAAUUUCAAGUGAUCUUGCAAUCCAGACAGUGAACUCCCCACCAUAUUUAUUCCUUUUACCCAAAAUUUCACUUCUCAAACUCAAAAAUCUAGGGUCUCUCUCUCUCUCUGUGCAGUAGCUUCCCUCUCCUGUUAGCUAGCUUUGGCUUGGCCAGGCAGUGAACUUUGACGGCGACGUUUAAACGAUCGAGGAACGGUAGAGGGAAGCAGUGAAAUGACAGAAUUAUCCUUUCGCACCUGCGCUUGGUGCUGAGCCAAAUUACAGUCGUGUCUGAUCUGCUAGUUAGUUGCAGCCGUAAAUAGAAGGCAGAGAAGAGCGAGGAAAACGACGACGUUUGCUGGAGAUGCAAAGGAAGCAAAAUAGGACAUAUGUGAAAAUGUCAGAAUUCUCAUUGAGAUUUGUGGGAAUUUACAAUGUGAUCUGCUGUUGGUUAGUGUUGUG